GUGAUUGGAGUCACACGUCGAAAUUUUAUCGCUCUGCAUCGGUCUAUCUCGAAAGACUUUCGUUGCCGCCUUAUUUCGCCAGUGACAAUAAGUUUUAGACAAUAAGGACGUCGGAAACCAUAGACAUUCGCAGGAACAACCCAACCAAAUUCCCGAUGUUGGACGACAAAUCUGAAAACCGCGCAAAACAAUGGAAGUGCACCUUGCGCUGAAUCCAAUCACAGACUUUGAAAACACGAACAGAAGCUGUCACACGAAAUCGAAAUAGAGAAUAGAAUAAAUGAUUUUAGAAAAGCGGCUUCGGACAUGAACGACAGACGACGACCAGAGGAAUAGCACGAGCGAAAGGAGUCGUUGUAAAGGCAAAUCCUCACCACUGCAAGUACUACUACAAGUGCAGCACCUGCCACCGCGGGUUUUGUAAGCAAACGAAGAGAAAAAGAAGACAUUGUAAACAUAGCCAAGGAGGGAGGAACUGUAAACAGACGAAGAGAGCAUGAAUACAGAAGAGAAGGAGAAGAAGAAGAUAUAUAUAUACCUCACUUAAACCAUCAUGCUUGAAGCCGACGCCUUUUGUGAUUUCUUGAGGAUGAGGAACAACGCUGCUCGCCUCAAUGAGACUGACUCCAUAAGGCACAUCAUAGAGCACAGCGUCUUCCACGCUUACGCAGUUUGCGCCCUAGGAACGAUCUGUAACUUCACGGCCCUUUGGUGCAUCAUCACUUGCGACAAGACGAACGCAGCCGUCAAGUUCCUGCUCUUCUGCAUAUUCCUCUCCCUUCUCCUCCUGAGUUUCCUGACGAGGCCCCUGCUCUCCCUCAACAUGAGCACCUUCCUGAGGGAGGACGCGAGGCCUGUCCCCGAGGUCCUGAACGUCGUCGUGUGCAUCCUGUACAUCCUUCUAGCUGAAGGGGAGAUGUGGUGUAUCGCAGCCGUGGCCUUCUUCAGAGGCUCUGCAAUAUGGUCGGCCAGGAGACGGAAGCUCACCCUCUCGUCAGCUGUGAAAGUAGUGGCGUCUCUCUACGUGUUUAUCAUUUUGUCGAAUUUUGGCAUGGGGUACUUGCUGCUGAAGGAGCAUUUCACCGUGAUUUGGGUGGUGGUCAUCUACAGCGUCUGUCAUAUUUUUUCACCGAUGCUGGUUACUGUGGGCUG